AGGUUCAGGUGGUUAGGAAAUUAUGUAAGGAGUGUGGGUUAGAUUCGUCUGGAUCACGAGCUGACCUCCUUGAAUAACUUCCAAAGGUGGUUGGGCUGUAAUUAUGUGCCCAUGCGGCAUUGUGUACAGCAUAAAGUGUAACAUUCGAGCAGAAAGCCCACGUGACUUUGCAGACAUGUUGCUUUCUUGGAAGCACAUGCCAAAUGUUAUCAUAUAUGACUUUGCACGUGGGUUAGCAACCCACAAGAAUCUCAGAGAACCAGAAAGUUUGCCUUUCAAACCCUUUGAAGGACGGUUAAGCCCCCCAGCUCCAGACAACAUAGCCAAAGACAAAGAUGGGAAACUGAAGGUCUCACUACCUUGGCUGAAUUGUAAAAAAAUGAUUCCAGACCCUGAAGGCCAUCCAGUGACUGGUUUAGCAGAGCAUUAUGUUUUGUAUGAUCAGUUCCACGAGGACAAUACGAAAGAUCCCCGUGAUGUCCUGCGGAAGCUUCGCAGGGUCCCACAACUGGCUGGAAAAGUAAACAGUCAAGUUGCAGAACAGCUAUUUUCCAGAAUGAAGAAAAAUAAUUAGGUUUUAAACAUGGCUUUACCUUCAACACAUCUGUUCCUUAUGAGGAAUAUUAUACACCAUCAUAACACGUACAGAAAUGAACAACGUCUAGGGCAACAUAAAAAGGGCUUUUGGAAAUGAUGUCACAAUGAACAGGCACAGCCAGGCAGUGUUGGUAAAGUAUCCCCAGAGAAUGUCUCCACUGUUCCAAUGGGCAUUGAUGUACCAACUGUUUCAGCAGAGCCAGCGCCCAAGACAGCAUCCCUUGACACUCCCAAGGCAGCUCCCAAGACUGCGCCCAAGCCAUCGUUCCUCACUGCGCCAAAGCCAGCACCCUUCGGCUUCUCAAAACUGUGUAAGCCCUGGGAAAAAGAAUUGAAUCCUAUCCAGGACAAACUGCUCAGCUAUGUUCUGGACACGAGACGGCCUGGAGCAGAAAUUAUUAUAAAAGAAGGGCCCAUAUGUCUCACCCGUGAAGAGGUUUGGAGCCUAGGGUUACAAAGAGACAUGGAUUCCCAGGUGCAUAGUGGGAAGUUUGUAAAAAAAUAGGAGGGGAUUAGUCAUUUUUGUAUUUUUUUUUAUUGUAUUUUUUUUUUUUUUAUGAUAUUUGCUUUGGUUGUUUUCUUGUAGAUUGGGAAUGCCUGCUUCAAACUGAUUCAUGAAGAAGCUCAGCAACAUGUAUGUGACAUGUAUAGAAACACAAGAUUAAAGCCUAAACUGUUACUGUAUGCUUUCAUAUCAUUGUCUACUUUCAAAGUAGUUACAUGGUUUCAGUUUUUUUUUUUUUUUUUUUUAC